UGAGACCUCUGCUUAAAUUCAUGGCUCCAGCUGUCAAAAGCAAAGAAAAGCAGCUUUUCCUUGGCGGCUCUCUGCUUUGGGUAGAGUUUGACAUCUUCCUCAGUCAGCAGAAUUUAAUCAGCAUCGAGUACCCACAGCCUCUCAGCUUCUCCACAACUCAGCUGUGGGGGGAGGGAAGGGGAAUCUUGCUAAUAGAAAAAGGGGAUCGUCCAAGCACAAUAUGUAUAAACAGACACAGACAGGAACAUGAUCUAAAGCACGUUGCUGUCUAGAGAUAGUCCCAUUAUGCCCUUUGAUUUAAGAAUUGCUGCUACCAUUAGCUACAAGGGAACACUCCCACUUGCUUAUGGAGGAAAUUCUUUCCUUGCUAAGGUUUUGCCAUGGCUCCAUUACUUACUCUCAGCUUCUCAUGAAACACAGCUGUAAUUUGCAGUUGACAAUGAUACUGAUUGCAAAAGAAAGCUGAUGAAAUGUGCACAGGGAUAUGGUUCCCCAUAUAUAGAUGAACAAGUGAACCAACUUCAGCAAUCAGUAACACCUUGUUUGUAGUCUACCUAAAUAUUAGCUGGAAAGAUGCCCCUCUCCCAUUAAUUCUCACUUAUAUCUCAGUGAAUCAAAUAAUCCAGCCCAGUGUACAGAGUUAUGAACAACUGGAAAACAUUCACAUUGCACCUCAAGCCCACAGAGCUUUGGGCCUAACAGUAGAUGGAUUAUAAACUGCAGCCUGUACUCAAAACAGCUUGGUGCAUAUAAGCUAAGGUUGCUCACUGGGGCAAAAGCUCUCAAGACUUCUUUCUCACAUCUAGCCUUGAUUCUCCCUCCCCACAAGCAAGCCCAAAAAUCCCACAAAGAGAACUAAGGAAUAUUAUGUGCACCCCAAUUUACCUGUUUGAUAUCAUCCUGCCCGACUGCAUGUGGUUAAAGCAAAGAUGGCUGUUAGAGGGAAACAAAUAAAUAGUGAUAAAGGAAUUCGAAGAAUACUGCUCCUCUUCCAGGACUCUGCAUGUUUUUGAAUUGCCUGUUUUGCCAUAAAGUGUAUGUGUAGACACCAUGCUAAGUCAAAGUGAAAGUGGUUCAGUUGUGCUUACCAUGUGAAAAAUUGAUUGAGGUGCCCUUAUAGAAGAGAAGGGAAAGAGAGGAGGGGAGAGACAGAAGAAAGCAGGAGGAAAACAAAAGAGAACAAUAAAGGGAGAACAUGACAAUAUCUUUCUUGCCAGAAACAGCACCCUGUGUCAGUAGAGAAGAGGUUUUGCACCUAAAAAUCUAAUUCAGGCCUCAGGUUGGGAUAUGAGCAAUAAGGUAGCCCAAAGUCCUUGACCAAAUGUGGAGGGGAAAAAAAGAGGACAUAAAGGCAGAUGAGAUGGAAAGGUUCCUAUUUCUUAAAUCUACCAUGGGACAACUCUGCCAUGUUUCAUCCGUGUGUGGGAUGUAAGAACCUUCAGCAAAUUUAGCGUCUUCCACUGGAACAAUUUUUUCCUCUCUUUAUCACCUCGUCAUUCAGGCAGCUGCAGUGGUACCGUAGUUCCAGUGUCGACCGCUACUGGGCUUUGCUGAUGGAGGCUUUCUCAUCAAAGGCUUAAAGCUGACUACAACAUUCUGACCAAAUAACAUACCUCCCAACAUUUCAAGUUGGUUAAAGCCAGAGAAGUCUUACCUCUGCUGCAUGGGAGGCCCGGCCAGUGAGAGGGUGAGGUGCUACCCCUGGAGUGUGGGAAGCUCUGGGUGGUAUAUUGUGAUCAGUAGAACUAGAGCCAGAAGGCCCAUGCUUUCUGGAGGGACUGUUAUUGACAGGACGCCAGUGGAAACCGGGAAUGUCUGGAAGCAACUCAGCUGCCUCGACAGGAGAGUGGUCAGGAUUUGAUAAAGUGCCACUUGUUCAGCUUAUCCUGCAUUCAGGCUCUCACAAACAUGGUGGCAGUGUUUAGUCUGCAGUGCAGCACCUGUCUGUGGAAACCAGGGAUCUCUAUAUGAAGCCCCCUGGAGCCCUGGAUUUUGCAGACACAAACCUAGCCCAGAGAUGCCUUCCAAGGAAGGAGGCGUUUGAGCUAUU